UACGGAGGGUGCAAGCGUUAUCCGGAUUUAUUGGGUUUAAAGGGUGCGUAGGCGGCUUAUUAAGUCAGUGGUGAAAUACUCUAGCUCAACUAGAGGGGUGCCAUUGAUACUGAUGAGCUUGAGUACAGAUGAGGUAGGCGGAAUUGACGGUGUAGCGGUGAAAUGCUUAGAUAUCGUCAAGAACACCUAUAGCGAAGGCAGCUUACUAGGCUGUAACUGACGCUGAGGCACGAAAGUGUGGGGAUCAAACAGG
rnacentral:rRNA from 1 species